rnacentral:lncRNA from 1 species
UCCAAAACAGUAGAUGACUAAUUCCUUUCCCAAAUGAUUUGCAAAAUUUCGUAUUUAUGUACAUUUUUCUGACAAGAGUUCAUAACUUCUAUCAUGUAUUCAAGGGGGGCAAUAAACUCCUCAAAAAGGUAAGGGCCAUAGUCCUGAGUGAUUAAUAUUGAAAAUAAGUGAAUGUAAGUUCACAGUAAAGAAAAAUAAAUGUGAGCUGCUUUGGUAUCUCCGUAUUUUUCACAGAAUGCCAAGCUCAUUCUGCCACUAAUCUUUGUUCCUGUAGAGCCCACACUGAGAACACGACUCUGUCCUUUCUAAUCUUGUCCAUCCUUCAAAGCUGCCCUGUAAUGUGUUUCUGGAAUCUGCUGUAGGAAGAGACAGAAAGGAGAACAGAUUUGAAUGAACAAUCAAAUGGACUUGUUAAACAUUUGCUAAGCAAAGCAGAAGAGGGAUGGAUCAAAGGUGACCCCAGAGGACACAUCUUGAUGACAGUCACUCAGAAGAUGAUCCUGGAAGACUGCCCUUCCAAACUUCACCCUCAUAACCAAUCUAGAAGGCACCCCAAAUUGUUGGUAUAGAUAAUCCCAGAUUACCUGGAGGUUCCUUAAUUGUUCCCUUGGAUGAUAUGUUGCCUCAAAGACACAAAAAUACUCAUUUCAGCAUAAAAUGAGUUUUUACCCUCUUACCUCAAGAAUCAUACCCAC